rnacentral:rRNA from 1 species
GACGAACGCUGGCGGCGUGCCUAAUACAUGCAAGUCGAACGCAGUGGGGACGGGUGAGUAAAACGUGGGUAACCUCCCAUCAGAGGGGAUAACACUUGGAAACAGGUGCUAAACCGAUACUGAUGGAUGGACCCGCGGUGCAUUAGCUAGUUGGUGAGGUAACGGCUCACCACGGACACGAUGCAUAGCAUACCGGGGAGGGGGUUCGGCCAAACAGGGACUGAGACACGGCCCAGACUCCUACGGGAGGCAGCAGUAGGGAAUCUUCGGCAAUGGACGAAAGUCUGACCGAGCAACGCCGCGUGAGUGAAGAAGGUUUUCGGAUCGUAAAACUCUGUUGUUAGAGAAGCGGUAUCUAACCAGAAAUCCACGGCUAACUACGUGCCAGCCGCCGCGGUAAUUC